rnacentral:lncRNA from 1 species
CUUGUCAAAGGUACGCACAGAGCACUUGGGCGCUUUAUCCACAGACCAGUAACUCUGGGACUAAGCCCCUGCGUUUAGAGCUGCAAGCACUUGGUAUUACUGUCGUGAUCCUUUGUCUUGCUGCGAGGGACGUGGUAUUUCCUCAAAUCUCUGGACCUGGAGAAUCAGUCUCUCUCUCCAGAGCUCAGAGUCUGAGCUUUGGUGAAGAUGUUGGAUAGAUGUCCAUUACCGCCAUCGGAUUCCAGGCUGAUACCAUCGUGCUGGAACCAGGCUUCGUGGCGACACGCUGCUCCCUGCCCUUGGCAUUCUGCGCACCCUGGCCACAUGUGCAGCCCAGGCCAUGACCUCGGUGCUUGGCUGGGCUCUGAUGGCCCGUUUAACAACAGUCAGAGGCUGGAAAGGCGAGGGGAGUUGCUGCUGUGCUAUUUAUAACCAGCUGGACAGUUAAAUAAUGCACAUGCAGCGGCCUGUGCUGUGCCUUGCACUCAAAAGGGGAGAGGAGCAUCACAUCGCCCCCGCUAGACCUGCUUGACCUAUUCAAGCAUGGGUUCCCAGCCUCUUUAGCACGAAAACACAAGUGCAAACAGGCCUCCAGGAGUCAAAUCCCUGCCUCGCUGAUGUCAGUGGGACUCCUGGCUCUGACUGCAGCGGAGCAUGGAUCACACUUAGCUGCAAGGCAUGAGUUGUUCAGCGUUUCCUUUCUGUUUAUUGCUGCAGAACCUUUUUUAUAUUUAUUUCUCCAUGACAAUAAAACCCAGUUAUGGUACA